AGAGUUUGAUCAUGGCUCAGAGCGAACGCUGGCGGCAGGCCUAACACAUGCAAGUCGAACGGAUCCUUCGGGAUUAGUGGCGGACGGGUGAGUAACACGUGGGAACGUGCCUUUUGGUUCGGAACAACUCAGGGAAACUUGAGCUAAUACCGGAUGUGCCCUUCGGGGGAAAGAUUUAUCGCCAUUAGAGCGGCCCGCGUCUGAUUAGCUAGUUGGUGAGGUAAAGGCUCACCAAGGCUACGAUCAGUAGCUGGUCUGAGAGGAUGAUCAGCCACACUGGGACUGAGACACGGCCCAGACUCCUACGGGAGGCAGCAGUGGGGAAUCUUGCGCAAUGGGCGAAAGCCUGACGCAGCCAUGCCGCGUGAAUGAUGAAGGUCUUAGGAUUGUAAAAUUCUUUCAGCAGGGACGAUAAUGACGGUACCUGCAGAAGAAGCCCCGGCUAACUUCGUGCCAGCAGCCGCGGUAAUACGAAGGGGGCUAGCGUUGCUCGGAAUUACUGGGCGUAAAGGGCGCGUAGGCGGGUCGUUUAGUUAGAGGUGAAAGCCCCAGGGGCUUAACCCCCGGAAUUGCCUUUAAUACUGGCGGCCUUGAGUAUGAGAGAGGUGUGUGGAACUCCGAGUGUAGAGGUGAAAUUCGUAGAUAUUCGGAAGAACACCAGUGGCGAAGGCGACACACUGGCUCAUUACUGACGCUGAGGCGCGAAAGCGUGGGGAGCAAACAGGAUUAGAUACCCUAGUAGUCC
rnacentral:rRNA from 1 species